rnacentral:misc_RNA from 1 species
GUAUUAUAAUUUAAAGGCACAGAAGGCCUAUUAUUAACAUUCUAUAACUUGUUACGGAGUAUAUUUUAAAAACAUAGACCUGGAAUGCAAGAACAGCUGAUUUUCACAACAGUCCUCAAACCGAGUUUCCUCGAACAGUUUCACUCAGGUCUACAGUAUGUGCACAGGUGGUUAAAAUGGAGUGAGUGUGCACAUGCUCCUAAGAGCCAGCAGCAACCCAACCAAGUUUAUUCAAUAAUGAUCCUUCCGCAGGUUCACCUACGGAAA